rnacentral:rRNA from 1 species
CCUACGGGAGGCAGCAGUGAGGAAUAUUGGUCAAUGGGCGCAAGCCUGAACCAGCCAUGCCGCGUGCAGGAAGAAUGCCCUACGGGUUGUAAACUGCUUUUAUUUGGGAAUAAACCUUUCUACGUGUAGAAAGCUGAAGGUACCAAUUGAAUAAGCACCGGCUAACUCCGUGCCAGCAGCCGCGGUAAUACGGAGGGUGCAAGCGUUAUCCGGAAUCAUUGGGUUUAAAGGGUCCGCAGGCGGACCUAUAAGUCAGUGGUGAAAGCCUACAGCUUAACUGUAGAACUGCCAUUGAAACUGUAGGUCUUGAAUUCGGUCGAAGUGGGCGGAAUGUGUAGUGUAGCGGUGAAAUGCAUAGAUAUUACACAGAACACCGAUAGCGAAGGCAGCUCACUAGGCCUGGAUUGACGCUCAGGGACGAAAGCGUGGGGAUCAAACAGGAUUAGAUACCCUGGUAGUCCACGCCGUAAACUAUGAUUACUCGUUUUCGGUCGAUAUACAGUCGGAGACUAAGCGAAAGUGAUAAGUAAAUCCACCUGGGGAGUACGAUCGCAAGGUUGAAACUUAAAUUAGAAAUUGACGGCUUGAGACGNGCGAGACGACACGAGGAGAGG